GUUUUACCCUACUAGAGGCUUCCGACAUCCGAGAUUCCACCGGACGGUAGGAAUUCCGAUACCGGAGUCUAGCCGGGUAUUACAUUCUCCCCCCCUUAAGAACAUUCGUCCCCGAAUGUUCCUCAACUAGCACAUGCAAAGCAUACAACAUAAAACACAUAGAGACUAACCUUAAAAGAGAUGAGGAUAUUGCCGGAGCAUAGACUCCCGUGUCUCCCAAGUGCACUCUUCCAGAUUGUGGUGGUUCCAAAGGACCUUCACCAUCGGGAUUUCCUUGUUCCUUAG
rnacentral:lncRNA from 1 species